AUUGAACGCUGGCGGCAGGCCUAACACAUGCAAGUCGAGCGGAGCGGCGGACGGGUGAGUAAUGCCUAGGAAUCUGCCUGGUCGUGGGGGAUAACGUCCGGAAACGGGCGCUAAUACUGCAUACUAGCAGAUGAGCCUAGGUCGGCUUAGCUAGUGGGUAGGGUAAAGGCCUACCAAGGCGACGAUCCAUAACUGGUCUGAGAGGAUGAUCAGUCACACUGGGACUGAGACACGGUCCAGACUCCUACGGGAGGCAGCAGUAGGGAAUAUUGGACAAUGGGCGAAAGCCUGAUGCAGCCAUGCCGCGUGUGUGAAGAAGGUCUUCGGAUUGUAAAGCACUUUAAGUUGGGAGGCGUUACCAACAGAAUAAGCACCGGCUAACUACGUGCCAGCAGCCGCGGUAAUAC
rnacentral:rRNA from 1 species